UGGAGUUUUGAGAGUAUUGUUUGUUUGAUUUUCUGUUUACCAAUUCUGUUUUUGUUGUGGGAAUUUUGUAAUGUACUUUUUGGUGGCUCUAGUUCACCAUGACUUUAUCUUAGCACUUUAAUUUUUCUUUAGUAUUUUUUAUAAUUGCAUGAGUACUUUUUUGAAAUUUAAGUGUGUUUUUAAUCAAAUUGGUUUACCAACAGUCCUAUUUAAUUGUUCUUACGCUUAAGUCAAGCCUAAAGCAACCAAGAAUUGUUCGCAAAGAAAGAAGCAUAGGAUACUUCGAGUGGUGAUGAUAAGAAUUAGUGUCGGCAUUUCAAGGUACACUUUAUCGCUUUCUAGACUUAACAUGAGUAGGUUGAUGUUGUGUGCAAAUUCCAUUUCAUAAAUUCAUUGAAGUAUAUGUCAGUUUUGAAUCAAAAUAGGACUUAA
rnacentral:lncRNA from 1 species